rnacentral:rRNA from 1 species
AAUAUUGGACAAUGGGGGCAACCCUGAUCCAGCCAUGCCGCGUGUGGGAAGAAGGUCUUCGGUUGGUAAAGCACUUUAGGUUGGGAGGAAGGGUUGUUGGCUAAUAUCCUGCAAUUUCUACGUUACCGACAGAAUAAGAACCGGCUAACUCUUGCCCACACGCCGAGGUAAUACAGGGGGUGCAAGCGUUAAUCGGAAUUACUGGGCGUAAAGCGCGCGUAGGUGAUUCAGUAAGAUGGGUGUGAAAUCCCCGGGCUUAACCUGGGAACUGCUUUCAUAACUGCUGAGCUAGAGUACGGUAGAGGGUAGUGGAAUUUCCUGUGUAGCGGUGAAAUGCGUAGAUAUAGGAAGGAACACCAGUGGCGAAGGCGACUACCUGGACUGAUACUGACACUGAGGUGCGAAAGCGUGGGGAGCAACCA